CUCUCUCUCUUUCUCUCUCUCUCUCUGUAAACUCAGUACUCUUGUCGUAGACCCAUCCGUCGCAGCCUCCGCCUUCGUUGUCGCUGCCUCCGCCUCCGCCUUCGUUCGUCGCACUUGCCAUCGCCUCCGUUCGUCGCCACUGCCACCGCCUCCGUUCAUUGUCGCUGCCUCUGCCGUCUCCGUUCAACGCUGUUGUCUCCACCCCCGUAUGUCGCAGCUGCCUCAGAGCAUUUUGCUAUUGCAUUUGUAGAUGGGGUCAAGUUUUCAUAUUGGAUGCUCUUUCCAAGUACAAGGCAGCUGAUGGUCGGGAAGCUGAGAAUACUGUGGAGCGUGUUACUCCACGAUUACAACAUGCAAAUUCUGCAGUUGUGCUUUCUGCUGUCAAGGUUCUUUUGGAGUUCAAAGAAUAUGCAACAGAAGUAGAUGUAGAUUUUGUAAGAAAAGUUGCUCGUGCAAUUGGACAUUGUGCCAUCAAGUUAGAGAGAACAGCUGAGCGAUGCAUCAGUGUGUUGCUGGAGCUAAUUAAGAUUAAAGUAAAUUAUGUGGUUCAAGAAGCUAUCAUUGUCAUUAAAGAUAUAUUUACAAGAUACCCUUUUCUAGUCCCUUAUGUCCUUUUUCCCUAUAAAUUUGCUCCAUAAGAUUGCUGUAAAUUCCAGUUUUUUUGUAUAUUGUAAUGUGACGUUAUUAUCUCAUAGCGGA